CCGAUUCCCAAAAGCUAAAGUAAUGUUUCCUUGUUGGAAGAUACAAAGCCAAAGACUCAUACGGACUUUGGCUACACCAUCAAAGCUUUGUGAGGCU
rnacentral:sRNA from 1 species